CUCAGUUUCAGUGUUGUAUUAAAUUGCUCCUCCUGCGCCUCCUCUCCUCAUCCUCCAAACCCUCUAAUCUGUCAGCAGUAAGCUCACUUUCCAAGUCACAAGGCCGUUCUCUGCCAACACUGACAACAUGCUGGGGACCCUCUGCACUCUCAUCACUGCUCUAACAUGUGUGAGUGGUGUGACGGUGGUGACACAGAAACCUCCAGUUGUGACGGUGAUGAAAGGAGAGACAGCCACCAUGGACUGUAACCUGGGGACUGUUACUAACACUUAUGCUCACUGGUAUAAACAGAUUCCUGGAGGAGUUCCUCAGUAUGUAUUACGUUUUCAUCACGGCUCAAGCUCUCCAGGCUAUGGCUCUGGUUUCUCCUCUCCAAAAUUCACAUCUACUCAUCAGUCAACGUCAGAUUAUCGUUUGAUCAUAAACACCAUCGAGGAGGGAGACUCAGCAGUCUAUCACUGUGAAACAUGGGACACCUCUGUGAAUGAGUGGGUAUCACAGUGAUUUACACUGUGACAAAAACCUCUUCACUAAAUACUUCUGCUUUUUGAGACUCUGACACAUCUUGACUGGGAGAGAAGCCAUCAGUCAGUGCUUUCUGUAACUUCCCCUCAUAUGUAUUGAACAUACAUUUUCAAACUUACUGGCUGUCUAUUAUACAUGCACACUAUUCACACAAGUAAAGACUAGUCAUGAUCUCAUACACUGUUGAAAAAAACAUUGUUUAAGUAAAUAUUAAUAUGUCUUGCUACUCAUCACACUCAAUUAAAAUUAUAGAAAGUUUGCAAUAGCUUCUUAUUUGAUUAUCUAAAUUAAAUGAUCCUUCUGGAGAUAAAUCCUCUGGUGCAGAUGUAUAUCUUUGAACUUAGACUUGCACUAAACAGUAAUCCAACUGCAACAUUUCCACUUUCUUAAUAGGACCAAAGUUCAUCUGAUGGCAGAAGAUGCCAGAUCACUUCAUCAUAUUCAUGUUACUACUUUCAAAUGAAACAAAAAAGAAAAAACUAAACUUGUUGCACGCCCAGAAUUAUUAAUAUUGAUGUAAAGGACAUCAGCAGGCCUACAAAGACAACUUGAACAACAAAGUGGAACAAACUGCUUGUGGAUAUGAUGCAAAAAUACAUUCCGGUAAAUUCUAUAAAUGAAUGAAUGAACAAAAACAGUGUUGAGUUUAAGCCCCUCCUCUUCCCCUUCUCCUCUCCUCAGUGUCUUUAUAAGCUUCUGUGUCUCCUC